rnacentral:tRNA from 2 species
GCCGAUAUAUAGGCAAAAAACACUCCCCUGCUAAGGGAGUAGGUCGGGUGUACCGGCGCGAGGGUUCGAAUCCCUCCUUCUCCGCCA